UGCAGUCGAACGAUGAACCACUUCGGUGGGGAUUAGUGGCGAACGGGUGAGUAACACGUGGGCAAUCUGCCCUGCACUCUGGGACAAGCCCUGGAAACGGGGUCUAAUACCGGAUACUGACCCUCGCAGGCAUCUGCGAGGUUCGAAAGCUCCGGCGGUGCAGGAUGAGCCCGCGGCCUAUCAGCUUGUUGGUGAGGUAAUGGCUCACCAAGGCGACGACGGGUAGCCGGCCUGAGAGGGCGACCGGCCACACUGGGACUGAGACACGGCCCAGACUCCUACGGGAGGCAGCAGUGGGGAAUAUUGCACAAUGGGCGAAAGCCUGAUGCAGCGACGCCGCGUGAGGGAUGACGGCCUUCGGGUUGUAAACCUCUUUCAGCAGGGAAGAAGCGAAAGUGACGGUACCUGCAGAAGAAGCGCCGGCUAACUACGUGCCAGCAGCCGCGGUAAUACGUAGGGCGCAAGCGUUGUCCGGAAUUAUUGGGCGUAAAGAGCUCGUAGGCGGCUUGUCGCGUCGGUUGUG
rnacentral:rRNA from 1 species